CCUACGGGAGGCAGCAGUGAGGAAUAUUGGUCAAUGGCCGUAAGGCUGAACCAGCCAAGUCGCGUGAAGGAAGAAGGAUCUAUGGUUUGUACACUUCUUUUAUAGGGGAAUAAAGGUAUCCACGUGUGGAUAUUUGCAUGUACCCUAUGAAUAAGCACCGGCUAACUACGUGCCAGCAGCCGCGGUAAUACGUAGGGUGCGAGCGUUAAUCGGAAUUACUGGGCGUAAAGGGUGCGCAGGCGGUUGAGUAAGACAGAUGUGAAAUCCCCGAGCUUAACUCGGGAAUGGCAUAUGUGACUGCUCGACUAGAGUGUGUCAGAGGGAGGUGGAAUUCCACGUGUAGCAGUGAAAUGCGUAGAUAUGUGGAAGAACACCGAUGGCGAAGGCAGCCUCCUGGGACAUAACUGACGCUCAGGCACGAAAGCGUGGGGAGCAAACAGGAUUAGAUACCCCGGUAGUC
rnacentral:rRNA from 1 species